CUUCCGCCCUCCCCGCACAGGAGGGUGGAUCGAGGCACACGGGGUGCUCUGCCCUGACCGCUCCGGGGGCCUCAGGUCGGCCGGCUGCGGCCGAUGCAACUCCGGGCUGCGGUGCCGGGCGGGUUGAGGGUCCCGCUCUGGCGC
rnacentral:ncRNA from 21 species